rnacentral:rRNA from 1 species
CCUACGGGUGGCAGCAGUGAGGAAUCUUGGUCAAUGGCCGGAAGGCUGAACCAGCCAAGCCGCGUGAAGGACGAAGGUGCCAAGCAUUGUAAACUUCUUUUGUCAAGGGACAAAAUCAGGCUCGAGAGCCUGACCGAGGUUACUUGAAGAAAAAGCAUCGUCUAACUCCGUUCCAGCAGCCGCGGUAGUACGGGGGAUGCGGGCGUUAUCUGGAUCUAUUGGGUUUAAGGGGUGCGUAGGCGGACUGUUAAGUCAGCGGUAAAAGCCCGGGGCUCAACCCCGACGAGCCGUUGAAACUGGCUGUCUUGAGAUGUCAAGAGGUAUGCGGAAUGCGAAGUGUAGCGGUGAAAUGCUUAGAUAUUGCGCAGAACUCCGAUUGCGAAGGCAGCAUACCGGCGGCGAUCUGACGCUGAGGCACGAAAGCAUGGGUAUCGAACAGGAUUAGAUACCCCAGUAGUC